rnacentral:rRNA from 2 species
UCUGGUAAUGAUGGCAGAGAGGUCACACCCGUUCCCAUACCGAACACGGAAGUUAAGCUCUCUAGCGCCGAUGGUAGUUGGGGCAUUGCCCCUGUGAGAGUAGGACGUUGCCAGGC